CUCGUAGGCGGCCAACUAAGUCCGACGUGAAAUCCCAAGGCUUAACCUUGGAACUGCGUCGGAUGCUGGAUGGCUUGAAUUCGGGAGAGGGAUGCAGAAUUCCAGGUGUAGCGGUGAAAUGCGUAGAUAUCUGGAGGAAUACCGGUGGCGAAGGCGGCAUCCUGGACCGACAUUGACGCUGAGGAGCGAAAGCUAGGGAGCAAACG
rnacentral:rRNA from 1 species